rnacentral:lncRNA from 1 species
CAACACGUCACGCCACUUUCCAUUCUGGAAGAAUACCAAGUGGCGGGGUGAAACAAGCCCUUCCACAGGCUUCCGUCCCUGCGGAGGGGUCAGCUGGAUUAUGAAGGAAGGUGAUCGACGGGUCGGGCCCCGUCCCCAUGAUAAAUAUUUUCAAGGGAGUGGGACUCCAGAGUGGAAAGCCGAAGGUUUCCACGCUGCCAAUCCGGCCCGUUGAACCUCUCCAACUCUCCGGUUGACUCAGUGAUCCCACCAGUUAUAGAAUAUCUGUCGGAUUGGCCGCAUGGAGGUCACGAUUCCUAUCAUGUAGUCCGAUUCUAGCCUCGCCGUCGAUCCCAGACAUCCAUAAUCCGGCUGAUACCUCCGCAGAGGUGGGCGGCCUGUGAAGAGUUUUUUUUAUACUACCUUUCCCUAUGAGGGUUAUAUAGGAACUUAUCCCCAAAAACGAUAACCUCGAAAGCCGAAUAUGAAGAAAGGGCGGGCAAGCCCGUCGGACGGUCUGGAUCCGUAUAGGGUCCUACCGCAGGCCCCAGUGACGGAUGUGGGCAGUGCCGUAGCUAAGCAGGUGCAACUGCACAGGGCCCACUUGGAAGGGGGGACCAAAAUGCUGUUCACAAGAAAUUAUAUUUUUAAAUUUUCCGCCUUUCUACUGCACCGUUCGGUGAUUAGAUUUUGUCUCAUUUAGACCCUAGAUGUUUCCGCUCAUCAAUAUGAACAUUCGAAUGAAUGGCAGAACUGACUAUUUUCAACACGCUUGUGUU